AUCAGCCUUUCGGGUGCGAUUCUGUGGAGUGUGAGGAGCUUAACACCUUCAUGCUUUGCAUAUUUGUGCUCUUGGGUGUACUUGCCCGUGUGGUUGGUUAACAUCAAUUUUGGUUAUCAUAAAAUGACUGGAGGAAUGUAGCUUCGAUCUCGUAUUGAAGUGUUAUAGCCUUCGGUAGAUGUGAUGAUCGAGAUUGAGGAUUGCAACGGAUACCCUUCGGGGCUACCUGUCUGGUCUCUGAUCGUUGCUCUGGUGCCGAAAGCUUGCUUACGGUUAUCAAAGUCGAUGGUCAAUAGGUUAGAACGGGUUAAAUUUCGUUAAGGAUGUUGACGUAAUGGCUUU
rnacentral:rRNA from 1 species